rnacentral:rRNA from 1 species
CUACGGGGGGCAGCAGGCGAGAAAACUUUGCAAUGUGCGAAAGCACGACAAGGUUAAUCCGAGUGGUUUCUGCUAAAGGAACCUUUUGUCGGUCCUAGAAACACCGAUGAAUAAGGGGUGGGCAAGUUCUGGUGUCAGCCGCCGCGGUAAAACCAGCACCUCAAGUGGUCAGGAUGAUUAUUGGGCCUAAAGCAUCCGUAGCCUGCUUUGUUAGUUUUCGGUUAAAUCUGUACGCUCAACGUACAGGCUGCCGGGAAUACUGCAAAGCUAGGGAGUGGGAGAGGUAGACGGUACUCGGUAGGAAGGGGUAAAAUCCUUUGAUCUAUUGAUGACCACCUGUGGCGAAGGCGGUCUACCAGAACACGUCCGACGGUGAGGGAUGAAAGCUGGGGGAGCAAACCGGAUUAGAUACCCUCGUAGUC